UCGAGCGGAUGACGGGAGCUUGCUUCCUGAUUCAGCGGCGGACGGGUGAGUAAUGCCUAGGAAUCUGCCUGGUAGUGGGGGACAACGUUUCGAAAGGAACGCUAAUACCGCAUACGUCCUACGGGAGAAAGCAGGGGACCUUCGGGCCUUGCGCUAUCAGAUGAGCCUAGGUCGGAUUAGCUAGUUGGUGAGGUAAUGGCUCACCAAGGCGACGAUCCGUAACUGGUCUGAGAGGAUGAUCAGUCACACUGGAACUGAGACACGGUCCAGACUCCUACGGGAGGCAGCAGUGGGGAAUAUUGGACAAUGGGCGAAAGCCUGAUCCAGCCAUGCCGCGUGUGUGAAGAAGGUCUUCGGAUUGUAAAGCACUUUAAGUUGGGAGGAAGGGCAUUAACCUAAUACGUUAGUGUUUUGACGUUACCGACAGAAUAAGCACCGGCUAACUCUGUGCCAGCAGCCGCGGUAAUACAGAGGGUGCAAGCGUUAAUCGGAAUUACUGGGCGUAAAGCGCGCGUAGGUGGUUUGUUAAGUUGGAUGUGAAAUCCCCGGGCUCACCUGGGAACUGCAUCCAAAACUGGCAGCUAGAGUAGGUAGAGGGUGGUG
rnacentral:rRNA from 1 species